rnacentral:rRNA from 1 species
AUUGAACGCUGGCGGCAGGCUUAACACAUGCAAGUCGAACGAGUGGCGGACGGGUGAGUAAUGCUUGGGAAUCUAGCUUAUGGAGGGGGAUAACUACGGGAAACUGUAGCUAAUACCGCGUACCAUCAGAUGAACCCAUAUGGGAUUAGCUGGUAGGUAAGGUAACGGCUUACCUAGGCGAAGAUCCCUAGCUGGUCUGAGAGGAUGACCAGCCACACUGGAACGGGGACACGGCCCAGACUCCUACGGGAGGCAGCAGUGGGGAAUAUUGCACAAUGGGCGAAAGCCUGAUGCAGCCAUGCCGCGUGUAUGAAGAAGGCCUUCGGGUUGUAAAGUACUUUCAGUCAGGAGGCGUUACCCACAGAAGAAGCACCGGCUAACUCCGUGCCAGCCGCCGCGGUAAUUC